GUAGGUGGCAAGCGUUGUCCGGAAUUAUUGGGCGUAAAGCGCGCGCAGGCGGUCCUUUAAGUCUGAUGUGAAAGCCCACGGGCUCAACUGUGGAGGGUCAUUGGAAGCUGGGGGACUUGAGUACAGAAGAGGAAAGCGGAAUUCCAAGUGUAGCGGUGAAAUGCGUAGAGAUUUGGAGGAACACCAGUGGCGAAGGCGGCUUUCUGGUCUGUAACUGACGCUGAGGCGCGAAAGCGUGGGGAGCAAACAGGAUUAGAUACCCUGGUAGUCCACGCCGUAAACGAUGAGUGCUAAGUGUUAGGGGGUUUCCGCCCCUUAGUGCUGCAGCUAACGCAUUAAGCACUCCGCCUGGGGAGUACGGCCGCAAGGCUG
rnacentral:rRNA from 1 species